AACAGUUUAUUUUACCCUCGCCAUUUUGCGGAUUUUCAAUGGUACUAAUUUCUUUUACUGGCAACAAGUACUCUUUGACAACGAACGUUGGAUAUCAUCGAAUGUCACCGAUAUAAACAAACCGAAAAUAUCUACGAAUAUAUUCAAAUAUAAACGGUUUUAUUACAAAAAUGCUCAAAAAUAUUUCCAAAGAUGCGAAAAAAAUUGUAGUGAAUGCAAUCAAAUACUUACAGCUUAAAAAAGACGAAGGAUUACAUAGCAUUCCAAUAAACAAUGUUUUAAAGUUGGUUGUUGACAUGACCGGUAUUGACAUUUUAUAGUACGGUUGUAUUGAACUGGUUUAAGUAGAUCGACGAUAAAAAAUAUUUCUAAAAAUAAUGAGACGGUCUUGACUUUGCCCCAUGUACAAAACAAAGCCCCACACAAAAAGAGAAUUCAAAUAGACGACUUCGACAAAUGUGCCAUAAGG